GACAGAGGGUGCAAACGUUGUUCGGAAUUACUGGGCGUAAAGCGCGUGUAGGCGGCUGCGCGAGUCGGAUGUGAAAUCCCAUGGCUCAACCAUGGAAGUGCACCCGAAACUGCGUAGCUAGAGUCUCGGAGAGGAAGGCGGAAUGCUUGGUGUAGAGGUGAAAUUCGUAGAUAUCAAGCGGAACACCGGUGGCGAAGGCGGCCUUCUGGACGAUGACUGACGCUGAGACGCGAAAGCGUGGGGAGCAAACAGG
rnacentral:rRNA from 1 species